rnacentral:rRNA from 1 species
GCAUAUCAAUAAGCGGAGGAAAAGAAACCAACAGGGAUUGCCCUAGUAACGGCGAGUGAAGCGGCAACAGCUCAAAUUUGAAAUCUGGCUCUUUCAGAGUCCGAGUUGUAAUUUGCAGAGGGCGCUUUGGCUUUGGCAGCGGUCCAAGUUCCUUGGAACAGGACGUCACAGAGGGUGAGAAUCCCGUACGUGGUCGCUAGCUAUUGCCGUGUAAAGCCCCUUCGACGAGUCGAGUUGUUUGGGAAUGCAGCUCUAAAUGGGAGGUACAUUUCUUCUAAAGCUAAAUAUUGGCCAGAGACCGAUAGCGCACAAGUAGAGUGAUCGAAAGAUGAAAAGCACUUUGGAAAGAGAGUCAAACAGCACGUGAAAUUGUUGAAAGGGAAGCGCUUGCAGCCAGACUUGCUUGCAGUUGCUCAUCCGGGCUUUUGCCCGGUGCACUCUUCUGCAGGCAGGCCAGCAUCAGUUUAGGCGGUGGGAUAAAGGUCUCUGUCACGUACCUCUCUUCGGGGAGGCCUUAUAGGGGAGGCGACAUACCACCAGCCUGGACUGAGGUCCGCGCAUUCGCUAGGAUGCUGGCGUAAUGGCUGUAAGCGGCCCGUCUUGAAACACGGACCAAGGAGUCUAACAUCUAUGCGAGUGUUUGGGUGUCAAGCCCGAACGCGUAAUGAAAGUGAACGGAGGUGGGAACCCGCAAGGGUGCACCAUCGACCGAUCCUGAUGUCUUCGGAAGGAUUUGAGUAAGAGCAUGGCUGUUGGGACCCGAAAGAUGGUGAACUAUGCUUGAAUAGGGUGAAGCCAGAGGAAACUCUGGUGGAGGCUCGCAGCGGUUCUGACGUGCAAAUCGAUCGUCAAAUUUGGGCAUAGGGGCGAAAGACUAAUCGAACUAUCUAGUAGCUGGUUCCUGCCGAGU